CCUACGGGAGGCAGCAGUGAGGAAUAUUGGUCAAUGGACGCAAGUCUGAACCAGCCAUGCCGCGUGCAGGAAGACGGCUCUAUGAGUUGUAAACUGCUUUUGUACGAGGGUAAACGCAGAUUCGCGUAUCUGUCUGAAAGUAUCGUACGAAUAAGGAUCGGCUAACACCGUGCCAGCAGCCGCGGUAAUACGGAGGAUUCAAGCGUUAUCCGGAUUUAUUGGGUUUAAAGUGUGCGUAGGCGGUCGGAUAAGUUAGAGGUGAAAUCCCGAGGCUCAACGUCGGAAUUGCCUUUGAUACUGUGCGGCUAGAGAGUAGUUGCGGUAGGCGGAAUGUAUGGUGUAGCGGUGAAAUGCUUAGAGAUCAUACAGAACACCGAUUGCGAAGGCAGCUUACCAGGCUACUUCUGACGUUGAGGCACGAAAGCGUGGGGAGCAAACAGGAUUAGAUACCCUAGUAGUC
rnacentral:rRNA from 1 species